CAGCACAAUGGAUUUAUAUUAACUGGAGCAACAAAUUCUGAAGUGAGAAGGGUUCAGUUAUUCAACAGCUUAUUAGUUACAGAGAAGACCAUUUUGAAUGGAAAUUCUUGCAUGCUUGGUGUAGUUAGGACACACUGUUCAAACUGUUCCACAGAGACCUUAAAACGGGUAAAUGCCUCUCCUUUCAUCUCUCCCAUCACUGCCCUGUUUUCAGCCCCAGUCAUUUUACAUGAACCAGGCUCAUGCAUCAUCUGAUCUGACAGAUCAUGAGGCUGCUUUUGCGUCAGUUUGGGUCACGUAUGCUCUGGAAAGUCUAGACCAGCCUUCCAACCCAUCACCACCACACGCGCUCAGGCACACACACAAACACACUCCCCAUCAAUCUCUGAAACCUUGCAGAGCAGCUGUACUUUAGAAAUUAAUAUAUAAGAGUGCUACAGUUACAGUAAUAUAUGAAAAAAUAAUGAUGGAGAGCAAUUACAAAAAUGACAAUAUGAAGGGACUUGCCAGUCCUUAUUUGCAUUACUUAUGGUUGGUGGAUCAUCAUGCUGUGAUUUUUGGAACUACUAUUUCCAUAAUUUGGAAGCUCUGGGAAUGCAAACAGGAAGAAUAAUGCUAAUAAUGCCAUGGAGUCAGUGAGCAACAUGCAGUCGGGAUUUGACAGGACUGCACAGGAGCAGUGGUUGAAAACCCCUUUCUGUAGAGAAGUACAUAAACAAGAUGACACAAUACUGAGAACAGGAAGGCUGCGCAGAAGGAAAUUGACACCGCCCAAAAAAAUCAUUCGCUGCCCUCUGCCACCUCUGGAGACCAUCGCCAGAUCCUCCUGUGUCUGGAAAACCAGGGCCAUCACAGGUGACCCCUUGUACUCCACCCACCAUGUGUUUGACCUGCUGCGCUCUGAUCCUUGCCUCGGGUCAAUCAGGUCCCACACCAAUAGACUCACAAACAGCUUUUUUCCCGGGGCCAUUCAGACUGUCAACAAACACCAUCCCCCGACACCCCACCCCUGCCCACCCACCUCACUAGUCUGAGCCAUGGUCUGAGUUACCUUCAUCACUCUGGCCAUUCACACAUAAAUCCAAUUCAGACCAAGCCUUUUCUUUCCACUACCUCCAAGCAUUUUGCAACUAUUUUGUUCUCCAAUGUGUGCAUUUCUCUUAUUUUUGUAUAUAUCCCUCUUGAUUGUACAUAUUUCUCCCGUUUGCUAUUUAUUCCUGCUGUCUACUAUUUAUAUUUUAUUCUGGCACAGUUGGUGUGGAGCACCCACAAUUUGUACAUGUACAAUGACAAUAAAGGGCUAUUCUAUUCUAUUCUAUUCUACAAUUGCAGUAUCAUAAAUUAUGCAUAACCUGACUUUUAUUUGUUUACCAGACAACUCCACAUGGUCAACUAUAUCGUUCAUUCAGGCAGGCAACAAAGCCAAGCUCCAACAUGUCAGCUGAUUUCAGCUAAGCUAUCAUUAGGUGAUAGCUUAGCAUAUAUCCUCCAAUAUAAAUCUCACUUAGAGGACACAAAUGAGAAACUUUAGGCUGCAUGUAUUCUACACCAUAGCUCCUCCUUUCAUGCUAUUUCUGAUCUAUCUUUAUUGAUGCCCAUUGCCUGGACACAAACAUUAUGUCAGUAGGAGAGGUAUAGUAGUUACUAAAUUGAGUCUCUUAAAGUUUCCACUAAGGACUUUAGGUCUGUUCCACCUACUAGCUAGAAGUCACAAGGCAUCAGCUGCAACUGUGAUGAAUGAAAUCUGUUUUACUCAGUCAAAAUCAAUUUCUAUUCCACAAUAUUACGAUGACCAGAACAACACAGGAACAGCUGGCACUAAAGUAAAUUAAACUACUAAAGAACAUUGCCAUAUGAGUUAAAUAAGAUUGCAUGGGCCCCUCCUUGUUUUGCUGAUCAUGCAGCUGCUUGGUAAGUUAACUGAAAUAGGUUUUUUCUAGAUAAAUGUCAUACUUUAUUUGGGCCACCUAUAGGGCAAUAACAGUAUAAUCAAUAGUAUAGUAAUAAUGAUGGAUUAUUUAUUGAUCAGGACAUAUAUUUUACUGUGUCCUUGCAGCCAGGUUUGCCUUUAUUGCCUGUGCCAAAACUUGAACAGCUGUUGCUGAUUUAUUGAUGUCCCCCUCCUUUAUUUCUAAACUAACAAAAUACAUUGUAUGAAACUGUGUGAAUUUUUGUCAGUGCAGUGCAUGUGUGCGUGUGUGUGUUUGAAGUAGUCUGCUUUAAAAAUUCGUACAUAAAACAGCUUGUAAAAUGCAGAACAAGGCUAAAUGGUGUUUUCUACCAAAGGGUGUUUAAUAAGGAAAUUGAUUUUUUUUUUUCUGUAAUAAAAGGAGCACUUCCCAAAAUUAAAAGCACCAAUGGUAAACUGCAGUUGAGGGAUGAAUUCUAUCAAGGUAUCUAGGUGUAUCUAGGUUUACAAGGUCACUUAUCUAGUAAGAAAACAUGGAAAGUGUUAGGGCUACUGUCUAAGAAAGUCUAUUAAAUGUUUUCUGUCUGGUGACUGUAAAAGCCACAGUAUAAUAUUUGCAAUAUUUACAUACUUCAGAUUUGCAAGCAUCAACAUUUACCAAAGAAAUAAGAAAGAUUAUUGAGGUUUAUUGAGGUUUAAGUUCUUAGGUUUCCUUUUUGUUCCUCAUAUUUUAUCUUUAUUUCUAAAAUGUUACUGUUCUUACUUUUAUGAAGUGUCAGAUGUCUCGCAGUAUUAUUGUAUGUGGUACAACAGCAGAAUGGGUCUGAUGAUGAUUUGGAGGAAUCUAGGAAAUCGUUUUUCUGUUUUCAUGUUCGGUGAUUCAGCUACAAGUUUGACUUGUAGCCAUGAGGUCUGUCCCUCUUCCACCCUUCUUCUCAUCCAACCGUUAUAUUCCUGCCUACCCUCAAUCUCUCACUCACUCUCCCUAUCUCCCCGUCUUGGCUUCUUCCGCUGUCACUCCUCGUCUCACUCUCUGUCAGCACAUCUGUCCUUCAUUGACUCCAUUUCCACACAUCACUCAGGCGUUUCAGCUCUUUUUCUGACUGCUUCUAUUGAUCUGCAUCUCCUUCUUCUUCC
ensembl:lncRNA